rnacentral:rRNA from 1 species
CGGACGGGUGAGUAACGCGUGGGUAACCUGCCUCAUACAGGGGAGUAACAGUUGGAAACGACUGCUAAUACCGCAUAAGCGCACAGGAUUGCAUGAUCCAGUGUGAAAAACUACCGGUGGUAUGAGAUGGACCCGCGUCUGAUUAGCCAGUUGGCGGGGUAACGGCCCACCAAAGCGACGAUCAGUAGCCGACCUGAGAGGGUGACCGGCCACAUUGGGACUGAGACACGGCCCAA